rnacentral:rRNA from 1 species
AAGGAUCAUUACAGAGUUUUUGCCCUAACGGGUAGAUCUCCCACCCUUGAAUAUAUACCUUUGUUGCUUUGGCGGGUCGCGCUCAGCGCUACUGGCUUGUCUAGUACGUGCCCGCCAGAGGACCACAACUCUUGUUUUUAGUGAUGUCUGAGUACUAUAUAAUAGUUAAAACUUUCAACAACGGAUCUCUUGGUUCUGGCAUCGAUGAAGAACGCAGCGAAAUGCGAUAAGUAAUGUGAAUUGCAGAAUUCAGUGAAUCAUCGAAUCUUUGAACGCACAUUGCGCCCUCUGGUAUUCCGGAGGGCAUGCCUGUUCGAGCGUCAUUAUACCACUCAAGCUCAGCUUGGUAUUGGGGCCCGCCCACCAGCGGCCCCUAAAGUCAGUGGCGGUGCCGAUUGGCUCUAAGCGUAGUAAUACUCCUCGCUAUAGGGUCCGGUCGGUUGCUUGCCAACAACCCCCAAUUUUAUCAGGUUGACCUCGGAUCAGGUAGGGAUACCCGCUGAACUUAAGCAUAUCAAUAAGCGGAGGAAAAGAAACCAACAGGGAUUACCUCAGUAACGGCGAGUGAAGCGGUAACAGCUCAAAUUUGAAAUCUGGCUCUUUUAGGGUCCGAGUUGUAAUUUGUAGAAGAUGCUUCGGGUGUGGCCCCGGUCUAAGUUCCUUGGAACAGGACGUCAUAGAGGGUGAGAAUCCCGUAUGUGACUGGGUGCUUUCGCCUAUGUGAAGCUCUUUCGACGAGUCGAGUUGUUUGGGAAUGCAGCUCAAAAUGGGUGGUAAAUUUCAUCUAAAGCUAAAUAUUGGCCAGAGACCGAUAGCGCACAAGUAGAGUGAUCGAAAGAUGAAAAGCACUUUGGAAAGAGAGUUAAACAGUACGUGAAAUUGUUGAAAGGGAAGCGCUUGCAACCAGACUUGCACGUUGUCGAUCAUCCGGGGUUCUCCCCGGUGCACUCGAUCUCGUUCAGGCCAGCAUCGGUUUUGGUGGUGGGAUAAAGGCCUUGGGAAUGUAGCUUCUUUCGGGGAGUGUUAUAGCCCUCGGUGCAAUGCCGCCUACCGGGACCGAGGACCGCGCUUCGGCUAGGAUGCUGGCGUAAUGGUUGUAAGCGACC